CCCCUUUGUCUAAAUCGGGAGACAGAGGGGAAGUUCAGCCCUGUCAGUAUCAGCCAUCCUCUGGAAUCUGGGGCCAGGCCUUUGAGCAGACAGGCAUUCCGAAUCCUCAGUCUCUCAGCAGCGCCUAGCAAUUAUCAUAACCUGACAACAGACCCAUCAAGAUAAGGGGCUAGGCAGUUAUGGUUCGUCUUUCUUCGGUCACUAAUGUUGUGGGAGCUGUUCCUGCUUCCCACCCUUACUACGCAGCGCUUGAGUGGCAGGAAGUUUUACACUGAGGAGCUCCUCCAUCUCACUAGAAGCUGUGGCCACUCACAUGUUGUUCAGAGCCCUGGUGUGGGUUAACCCUGGACUGAAGACGUCUCCCAUUCUCUGGAGAUUUCUUCUCUGCAACUGGCCUCCCUUGCCAGUCCCCAAUCAUUUUAAAUCUGGAAGCCAUGUUGUUUUUCACUCCAUCAGCGAAAGCAUGUAGCCAGUGAGAAUUGCUACACAAACCGGAGUUCCCUGGAAGAGGCCUUUAUUCUCAGAGCCUGAGAUUGUGUUGGCUGGAAGCAGGAACCUGUUGAAUACAUAAAAACAAAACAAAAGAAAACAAAAGCACAGUUGUCUGGCAUGGCUGUGUUGUUGGCUGGUGCGAAAACUGAAAUCCUCCUGGGCUACAUCUUCUUUUGCUACGUUGGCCUCAUUUCUGUAGGAGGAACAUGUGUGGAGCAGUCAGAUGAGGC
rnacentral:lncRNA from 1 species